UACUUGGAUAACCGUGGUUAAUUCUAGAGCUAAUACAUGCUAAAAACCCCGACUUCGGAAGGGGUGUAUUUAUUAGAUAAAAAACCAAUGCCCUUCGGGGCUCUUUGGUGAUUCAUGAUAACUUAACGAAUCGCAUGGCCUUGCGCCGGCGAUGGUUCAUUCAAAUUUCUGCCCUAUUAACUUUCGAUGGUAGGAUAGAGGCCUACCAUGGUAUCAAUGGGUAACGGGGAAUUAGGGUUCUAUUCCGGAGAGGGAGCCUGAGAAACGGCUACCACAUCCAAGGAAGGCAGCAGGCGCGCAAAUUACCCAAUCCCGACACGGGGAGGUAGUGACAAUAAAUACUGAUACAGGGCUCUUUUGGGUCUUGUAAUUGGAAUGAGUACAAUUUAAAUACCUUAACGAGGAACAAUUGGAGGGCAAGUCUGGUGCCAGCAGCCGCGGUAAUUCCAGCUCCAAUAGCGUAUAUUAAAGUUGUUGCAGUUAAAAAGCUCGUAGUUGAACCUUGGGCCUGGCUGGCCGGUCCGCCUCACCGCGUGUACUGGUCCGGCCGGGCCUUUCCUUCUGGGGAUCCGCAUGGCCUUCACUGGCUGUGUCGGGGAACCAGGACUUUUACUUUGAAAAAAUUAGAGUGUUCAAAGCAGGCCUUUGCUCGAAUACAUUAGCAUGGAAUAAUAGAAUAGGACGUGCGGUCCUAUUUUGUUGGUUUCUAGGACCGCCGUAAUGAUUAAUAGGGAUAGUCGGGGGCAUCAGUAUUCAAUUGUCAGAGGUGAAAUUCUUGGAUUUAUUGAAGACUAACUACUGCGAAAGCAUUUGCCAAGGAUGUUUUCAUUAAUCAGUGAACGAAAGUUAAGGGGAUCGAAGACGAUCAGAUACCGUCGUAGUCUUAACCGUAAACUAUGCCGACUAGGGAUCGGGCGAUGUUAUUCUUUUGACUCGCUCGGCACCUUAACGAGAAAUCAAAGUCUUUGG
rnacentral:rRNA from 1 species